rnacentral:rRNA from 1 species
CCAUGCCGCGUGGAUGAUGAAGGCCCUAGGGUUGUAAAGUCCUUUUAACGGGGAAGAUAAUGACGGUACCCGUAGAAUAAGCCCCGGCUAACUUCGUGC